rnacentral:rRNA from 1 species
AUUGAACGCUGGCGGCAGGCCUAACACAUGCAAGUCGAACGGUAACAGGAAGCAGCUUGCUGCGUUGCUGACGAGUGGCGGACGGGUGAGUAAUGUCUGGGAAACUGCCCGAUGGAGGGGGAUAACUACUGGAAACGGUAGCUAAUACCGCAUAACGUCGCAAGACCAAAGAGGGGGACCUUAGGGCCUCUUGCCAUCGGAUGUGCCCAGAUGGGAUUAGCUAGUAGGUGGGGUAACGGCUCACCUAGGCGACGAUCCCUAGCUGGUCUGAGAGGAUGACCAGCCACACUGGAACUGAGACACGGUCCAGACUCCUACGGGAGGCAGCAGUGGGGAAUAUUGCACAAUGGGCGCAAGCCUGAUGCAGCCAUGCCGCGUGUAUGAAGAAGGCCUUCGGGUUGUAAAGUACUUUCAGCGGGGAGGAAGGGAGUAAAGUUAAUACCUUUGCUCAUUGACGUUACCCGCAGAAGAAGCACCGGCUAACUCCGUG